rnacentral:lncRNA from 1 species
GACAUUAUUAUUGGCGAUGUUGCAUUUUCUACUUCCUUUAAUAGAAAGUGUGCAGCGUUUAAGCUCAGAGCUUAGUCGUCGUUUCGUUCUUUCCGUUUAUGCUCUUCUGUUGUCAUGUCACAGCAUGAGUUUAAAGUUGUAUCUUUACAAUGUAGGGAGGGUGGAGCUUUGAUCAAAGCAAGGACAGAGAGGAAGAGGAAGCUGUGGGGCCAGUAGUUAAUCUCGCCUCAUUUUUUAGAAACUUGCAUCUUGUUCUUCUCAACUUUUUAUUAUGAUCUGCGUGUGUGUCCUGUGGCUGGUACUUUGUGAGUAUUCUCUGACUGUCGGGGUGAAGAGUCUCAGACAAACAGGAUACGUUGGGCAAAAUGUAACAUUCCAGUGCUCAGACUGGGAGGGUUACACUUGGAGUGAUGUAACAUCUUACGUUAAGUACAUUAGUACAGAGAACAAGCAUGAGAUCAUGAGAGUAAAACCUGGAGACAUUAAUCAAAAGGACAGAAUAUCUUUAUACAACAAUGGAGGAACUUUGUCUGUGACCUUCACUGAUGUCCAGAAGUCAGACUCUGGGACUUAUUACUGUGGACUGGAUAGGUGGGGACAUGACAUAUAUAUACAGGUGAUCCUUCACGUUAUAGAUGGUGAGUUAAUGCCACUUGGUUUUUGUCUAACAAAAUAA